GUUCGUUCAAAAAAUAUGACUGCAUUUUGUGAACUUUUCUUCAAAAAUUUUGACACCUACCACCAUCUUCUUUUCUUUUUCAGUGAUGAACUAAUAAUGAUAAACGCUGCGCUAGGUAGUAAUAUGUCUUCAUCGUACAUCAUUGAUAAAAACGCGUUAAGAGCGAAAAUGUUCUGCCUCCGACUGAGCUCGCUCGGUGGAAACAGCACUUCACUUCUCCCGAACAUCAGCCUAACAAGCGAGCAUAUUUGAAUUUAAUAUUUUUUUUAAAUUUAAGUGCAGUGCUAUUGGAUUUGAGAUGACGACGACGGCGAGUCUGGAUAACG
rnacentral:lncRNA from 1 species